rnacentral:rRNA from 1 species
UACGUAGGGCGCAAGCGUUGUCCGGAAUUAUUGGGCGUAAAGAGCUCGUAGGCGGUCUGUCACGUCGGUUGUGAAAACCCAAGGCUCAACCUUGGGCCUGCAAUCGAUACGGGCAGACUAGAGUACUGCAGGGGAGACUGGAAUUCCUGGUGUAGCGGUGGAAUGCGCAGAUAUCAGGAGGAACACCGGUGGCGAAGGCGGGUCUCUGGGCAGUAACUGACGCUGAGGAGCGAAAGCGUGGGGAGCGAACAGG